UAUAUUUCUUGGUGAUAAUAUACCUAAAACAAAUUUGGAAAAGGAAGGUGUAUUUACUAUAUGAUAAUAAUAAUUCUGAUACAUAGCUGCAGUAGCCAUUCCUUACCAUAGUUACUUGGUUACAUGGAUGACUUUCUUUGUUUGUUUUUCCUUUUAUAAACAAAGAAUCUGACGAUAGUUGUUCUCUUUCUUUGUUUGACAAGUUCAACUUAAAGAAGCUCAUAUAUGAAGAAAGGAAGAACUAGUUAAUUGAAGGAUUGACUAAAUUUGGGCAGUGGCAUAAAUUUUCAAAGUUAAUGCACAUGCCAUAUAGAGAAACCUAGCUUUCCUUGUGUCCAUGCAAUUGCACCAUGUAAGCAUCAACAUAUUUCUCCAUAUAUCCUUUGCUCGGUGCAUUACUCAGUUGACUCACUCCGUGAAACAUAUUCGGAAACCAUAUAUCCACUUGGAGAAAAAUGUCAGUGGCAUGCUCUAGAUGAUGUCAUAAACCAGCUUGUACUUUCACCUAAGAUUGGCAAACAGUCAGGAAGACCAAGAAAGGAGAGGAUUCCAUCUCAAGGAGAGGAGCGUCAUCAAUAUAGAUUCAGAAGGUGCAAACAGAUUGGUCACAGCAGUCGAUCAUGCUCAACCGUCAUACCUCUUGAUAGCACUGCCAACCAACAGCACCAUUCAACUGAAGGACCAUAAAUCGCUCUAUGCUAUAUUAAGACAAUGAGGGCAUGCUAUGUGGUAUGCAUGUGUUAUGCAAUGUAGUAAGGAAUGCAAUUAGUAGCUCAACCGUGUAACGUGUGUUUUGGCAUAAUAGAUGUUGGUUUUAUGUGUU